GUUAUCUAUUGCACAUACGGAGGGUAAUUCCACGGAAACACCUGAUGUAAAUCGCUCAAGUGAAGAUAAUGUUAUACAAUCGUUAAAAAAUCGUGCAUUAGAUGCUGAUAAAACGGCUAGAGCAGAUAAAUCACUCCAACAAAAUAAAUUAUGUAUACUUUAAAAUGGUUUAAAUGUAGCCAAGGAAAACAAUGAUGGAUACAUCGUGGAAUAUUCAUUAGAAUACAAUUUCUUGCGAUUAUCGCCUGCAGCUCGGCAGAGAUUGAACAUCCCAGUUAAGAUCGUUACUUUGGAUUCAUUAAACGACAAACGUUUAGGCGAUGCUUUUUUAAGAUUGAUCCUAAAUGAAUUUCUGGGCUAUGACGAUUUGUUAAUGGCAAGCAUCUAAACGUUAAUGGAACACGAAGAUAACAAAGGUUUCCUGCGUUGUAGAAAUGUGGUAACCGGAGAACACUACCGAUUCGUUAGCAUGUGAAUGACGCGAACCUCGUACCUCGCUGCAUUCUU